rnacentral:lncRNA from 1 species
CAUCCAAACACACUCACACUCUUGUGCACUCAACCAACUAGCAAGAAACCCAUUCUCUUCACCAUUUCUUAACCAUCCUUCUCUCCAAAACAAAAUCCAAAAACAUUUUCUUUUUAUCCUUACUAUCCAAGAGUUCAUCAUCAUGAAGAAAGUUAGGGGUUGGGGGAAGUCGGUGCUCCAUCGAAUUUCCUUUAGCUCUAGUGACUCCUCCAUGCAAGACGCCCGUAGUCAAGCAUCAAGGGAGCAAGUAUCAUCUCCACCACCUCAAGUAAAUGAAGAAGCCGUCCCCGAGAAAAUUCAAGAUGAGGAGACCGACAUAUGGCUCACUCCCCCUGAGAUGGAGAAGCUUGAGGAACUCCGCGACCGUGAAUUUAUUCACACCAAGGUGAUAUCUCUUGACUUUCUCCAAAGCAUGGGCUU